UAAGUAGGUAGUAAAGCCUGGGGCUCAACCACAAGGCUAUUACCUGAACUGACAAGCUUGAGUAUGGUAGAGGUCGCUGGAAUUCCAAGUGUAGGAGUGAAAUCCGUAGAUAUUUGGAGGAACACCGAUGGCGUAGGCAGGUGACUGGACCAUAACUGACACUAAGGCACGAAAGCGUGGGUAGCAAACGGGAUUAGAUACCCCGGUAGUCCACGCCCUAAACGAUGGAUGCUA
rnacentral:rRNA from 1 species